UACGUAGGGACCAAGCGUUGUUCGGAUUUACUGGGCGUAAAGGGCGCGUAGGCGGCGUGACAAGUCACUUGUGAAAUCUCCGGGCUUAACUCGGAACGGUCAAGUGAUACUGUUGUGCUAGAGUACAGAAGGGGCAAUCGGAAUUCUUGGUGUAGCGGUGAAAUGCGUAGAUAUCGAGAGGAACACCUGCGGCGAAGGCGGGUUGCUGGGCUGAUACUGACGCUGAGGCGCGAAAGCCAGGGGAGCGAACGGG
rnacentral:rRNA from 1 species